GAGAAGAUGUAGUUUAACGUUUUUUUCUAUUCUUAGCUCUGGUGCCCAUGUUGUGCAGCAGACCAGAACUGUUUGGGCUAUUUUGGUUAAGGACUACCCAAGUAACAUUUCUGUCAAGUUUCAUUGCAAUACGAUCAUCGGUUUCUGAGGAGAAGUCGUUUAAAGGUUUUUCUAUUUUUACCUCUGGGGGCCAUCUUGUGCAGUGGACCGAAACCAUUGAAGCAAAUUUGAUAAAGGACCGUCCAAGGAACAUUUCUGUUAAGUUUCAUCAAAAUCUGAUCAUCGGUUUCUGAGAAGAUGUUCUUUAAAGGUUUUUCUAUUUUUUUGCCCUGGCAGCCAUGUUGUGCAGCGGACCGGAACCAUUUGAGCAAUUUUGGUUAAGGACCACCCAAGGAACAAUUCUGUCAAGUUUCAUCAAAAUCUGCCUAUCCGUUUCAGAGGAGAUGUCGUUUAAAGAUUUUGCUAUUUUUAGCUGUGGCGGCCAUAUUGUGCAAUGGACCAGAACCAUUUGAGCAAUUUUAAUAAAGGACCACCCAAGGAACAUUACUGUCAAGUUUCAUCAAAAUCUGCCGAACCGUUUCAGAGGAGAUGUCGUUUAAAGAUUUUGCUAUUUUUAGCUCUGGCGGCCAUAUUGUGCAAUGGACCGGAACCAUUUGAGCAAUUUUGGUAAAGGACCACCAAAGGAACAUUCCUGUGAAGUUUUGUCAAAAUCCGCUUAUCAGUUUCAGAGGAGAUGUCGUUUAAAGUAAAAGUUUACGCACGCACACACGCACGCACGCACGCACGCACUCACGACGGACAAUCUGUGACGACAUAAGCUCCAUGGCCUUCGGCCAGUGGAGCUAAAAAUUGGAUGGCAAUACAUCAGACUAGAAGUUAUAAGUAUUGAGAUGGAUGAAAUGAAACCUGAGCCUACCAAAGCUGACAGAUUGCACAAGAAACACAUAAAUGCAGAUUGGAAGAUUCAUUCUCUGGAAAGUAGAAAAAGGCGUGUUACAUACAGUUAUCACAGCCAUAACAGAAACCAUAUUGAGGAGCUGGUUCCCCCCGAAGGAAGAAUUGCGCUGUUGGUUUGGGCAGCACUAUUCCCCAGCCAAUUACACCAGCACUUUUUUUGUCAUAAAGAGCAUUUCUGAGAAGUUAUGGAGACGAGACCACUUACUAUGCAGGUGUUGCGGUGAAAUUUGCACCAGUGUGUUUUCUGUGGAGAUAACGAGAUAGUGUCCAGCAAUGAAGACCCAACUGAAGAUCUGACCUUGUAAGGCCAAUAUGAAAUAACUGUGUGGGAAAAUGUGAAAAACCUGCAGUCAGGAAUGCACUUAAAUCAUCAAAAGAACAGUGUGAAAUUAAUCUUGAAUAACUUGACAUUUAUUUGUUUGACAUAUUUAUUCAUGGUGCAGUGAAAACAUGUUUAUUUCUCUUGGUUAUUUUAAUUUAGAAUUGAUAGAAGGGAACAUCACUAUGU